CAGCGACGCUGGCGGCGNUGCCUAAUACAUGCAAGUCGAACGCUUCUUUUUCACCGGGUGCUUGCACCCACCGAGAAAGAGGAGUGGCGGACGGGUGAGUAACACGUGGGCAACCUGCCCAUCAGAGGGGGAUAACACUUGGAAACAGGUGCUAAUACCGCAUAAUUCUUUUUGUCGCCUGACAGAAAGAUAAAAGACGCUUUCGGGUGUCACUGAUGGAUGGGCCCGCGCUGCAUUAGCUAGUUGGUGGGGUAACGGCUCACCAAGGCCAUGAUGCAUAGCCGACCUGAGAGGGUGAUCGGCCACACUGGGACUGAGACACGGCCCAGACUCCUACGGGAGGCAGCAGUAGGGAAUCUUCGGCAAUGGACGAAAGUCUGACCGAGCAACGCCGCGUGAGUGAAGAAGGUUUUCGGAUCGUAAAACUCUGUUGUUAGAGAAGAACAAGUGAGAGAGUAACUGUUCUCACCUUGACGGUAUCUAACCAGAAAGCCACGGCUAACUACGUGCCAGCAGCCGCGGUUAAUACNUANGUGGCCANCGUUGUCCGGAUUUAUUGNGGCGUAAAGCGAGCGCANNNGNUUCCUUAAGUCUGAUGUGAAANCCCCCGGCUCACCGGGGAANGUCNUUGNAAANUGNGUACUUGANUNCNNAANAANGAAAGUGUAUUUCCNUGUNUAGCNGUGAAAUNNUAAAUUAUNNGAGGANCACCAGUG
rnacentral:rRNA from 1 species